rnacentral:rRNA from 1 species
CUACGGGUGGCAGCAGCUGAGGAAAUUUUACAAUGCACGAAAGUGUGAUAGAAUAAACCAGAGUGUCCAUCUAUGAUGGACUUUUGUCUACUGUAAAAAGGUAGACGAAUAAGGACUGGGCAAGACCGGUGCCAGCCGCCGCGGUAAUACCGGCGGUCCAAGUCGUAUCCACAUUUAUUGGGUCUAAAACAUUCGUAGCUUGUUUUGUAAGUUUCUUGUGAAAUCUGAUGUCUCAAGCAUCAGGCGUGCAAGAAAUACUGCAUUGCUAGAGACCGGAAAACGUAAGGAGUACGGUUGAGGUAGCGGUAAAAUGCGUUAAUCUUGAUCGGACUAACAAUGGCGAAGGCACCUUACGAGUACGGAUCUGACAGUGAGGGAUGAAGGCCAGGGUCGCGAAAGGGAUUAGAUACCCGAGUAGUC